rnacentral:RNase_P_RNA from 1 species
CGAGUCGGCCGGGUGAUCGCGGCGGGUCAUGAGCCCGUCGAGGAAAGUCCGGACUCCACAGGGCAGGGUGGUGGGUAACGCCCACCCGGGGCAACCCGCGGGACAGUGCCACAGAAAGCAAACCGCCAGGAGCAAUCCUGGUAAGGGUGAAACGGCGGUGUAAGAGACCACCAGCACGUCAGGUGACUGGCGUGGCUCGGCAAACCCCACCCGGAGCAAGGCCAAGUGAAGCGGGAAACCGGUUCAAGCAGACGGGCUGCCCGCUCGAUGUCUGCUGGUAGGCCGCACCAGGCUGUCGGUAACGGCAGUCGCAGAUGGAUGAUCACCGCCCGCUUGCGGGCACAGAAUCCGGCUUAUAGGCCGACUCGUCCA